rnacentral:piRNA from 1 species
CAGAAGGGGACUGGGGCCGGGGUGUAGAA